rnacentral:rRNA from 1 species
AGCGAACGCUGGCGGCAGGCCUAACACAUGCAAGUCGAACGAACCUUUCGGGGUUAGUGGCGGACGGGUGAGUAACACGUCGGAACGUGCCUUUAGGUUCGGAAUAACUCAGGGAAACUUGUGCUAAUACCGAAUGUGCCCUUCGGGGGAAAGAUUUAUCGCCUUUAGAGCGGCCCGCGUCUGAUUAGCUAGUUGGUCGAGGUAAUGGCUCACCAAGGCGACGAUCAGUAGCUGGUCUGAGAGGAUGAUCAGCCACAUUGGGACUGAGACACGGCCCAAACUCCUACGGGAGGCAGCAGUGGGGAAUCUUGCGCAAUGGGCGAAAGCCUGACGCAGCCAUGCCGCGUGAAUGAUGAAGGUCUUAGGAUUGUAAAAUUCUUUCACCGGGGACGAUAAUGACGGUACCCGGAGAAGAAGCCCCGGCUAACUUCGCG